rnacentral:rRNA from 1 species
AGAGUUUGAUCCUGGCUCAGGAUGAGACGAACGCUGGCGGCGUGCCUAAUACAUGCAAGUCGAACGAACUUGAUUUACAUUUGAGUGAGUGGCGAACUGGUGAGUAACACGUGGGAAACCUGCCCAGAAGCGGGGGAUAACACCUGGAAACAGAUGCUAAUACCGCAUAACAACUUGGACCGCAUGGUCCGAGUUUGAAAGAUGGCUUCGGCUAUCACUUUUGGAUGGUCCCGCGGCGUAUUAGCUAGAUGGUGGGGUAACGGCUCACCAUGGCAAUGAUACGUAGCCGACCUGAGAGGGUAAUCGGCCACAUUGGGACUGAGACACGGCCCAAACUCCUACGGGAGGCAGCAGUAGGGAAUCUUCCACAAUGGACGAAAGUCUGAUGGAGCAACGCCGCGUGAGUGAAGAAGGGUUUCGGCUCGUAAAACUCUGUUGUUAAAGAAGAACAUAUCUGAGAGUAACUGUUCAGGUAUUGACGGUAUUUAACCAGAAAGCCACGGCUAACUACGUGCCAGCAGCCGCGGUAAUACGUAGGUGGCAAGCGUUGUCCGGAUUUAUUGGGCGUAAAGCGAGCGCAGGCGGUUUUUUAAGUCUGAUGUGAAAGCCUUCGGCUCAACCGAAGAAGUGCAUCGGAAACUGGGAAACUUGAGUGCAGAAGAGGACAGUGGAACUCCAUGUGUAGCGGUGAAAUGCGUAGAUAUAUGGAAGAACACCAGUGGCGAAGGCGGCUGUCUGGUCUGUAACUGACGCUGAGGCUCGAAAGUAUGGGUAGCAAACAGGAUUAGAUACCCUGGUAGUCCAUACCGUAAACGAUGAAUGCUAAGUGUUGGAGGGUUUCCGCCCUUCAGUGCUGCAGCUAACGCAUUAAGCAUUCCGCCUGGGGAGUACGGCCGCAAGGCUGAAACUCAAAGGAAUUGACGGGGGCCCGCACAAGCGGUGGAGCAUGUGGUUUAAUUCGAAGCUACGCGAAGAACCUUACCAGGUCUUGACAUACUAUGCAAAUCUAAGAGAUUAGACGUUCCCUUCGGGGACAUGGAUACAGGUGGUGCAUGGUUGUCGUCAGCUCGUGUCGUGAGAUGUUGGGUUAAGUCCCGCAACGAGCGCAACCCUUAUUAUCAGUUGCCAGCAUUAAGUUGGGCACUCUGGUGAGACUGCCGGUGACAAACCGGAGGAAGGUGGGGAUGACGUCAAAUCAUCAUGCCCCUUAUGACCUGGGCUACACACGUGCUACAAUGGAUGGUACAACGAGUUGCGAACUCGCGAGAGUAAGCUAAUCUCUUAAAGCCAUUCUCAGUUCGGAUUGUAGGCUGCAACUCGCCUACAUGAAGUCGGAAUCGCUAGUAAUCGCGGAUCAGCAUGCCGCGGUGAAUACGUUCCCGGGCCUUGUACACACCGCCCGUCACACCAUGAGAGUUUGUAACACCCAAAGUCGGUGGGGUAACCUUUUAGGAACCAGCCGCCUAAGGUGGGACAGAUGAUUAGGGUGAAGGAUUGGGGU